AGUGUUUACUACAUGAGCCUGCAUGUCUGGCUUUAUACAGACCAAGCCCAGCAACUAGCCCACCCAUCUUUGCAUAGGGGUGUGGCUCGAAAGAGGACUGACCAAUGCAAUGUCAAAAGGGUUGACUAAUCUGUGGGACAGCCAGCACUCUGCUGCUGCUGCUUUGUCAGUGGUGACACACAAAGUUACCACUAGUGGCCCCGCUAUCAGCAAGCACUGAUAUGACAGACUCUAAGAAAAGAAACCUUCACCCUGCGAAGGUGUGUGUGCAUCCAUAUACACAUAGAGGAAUAGUGGAGAAACUCAACCAGCUAAGAUGUCAACAAAGUGAAACUCCCGCUCCAAAACAACAAUGACGUGAAUGCACUUGGAGGGACACACGUGAACCAGUGCCAGUGAGAGAUUUGAUUUCCUCAUCUUGGGCUGUUGAUCCGAGCAGCUGACAGACCUGCACAGUGGCCGGACGAGCAUAUGGUGAAGGCGACAUGUUGGAGCUACAGGAUGGGAAGAGGACAAACAACCACCUAUGCACAUGUGGGGGGAAUAUUAAGAACAGUUUUUUGCAGAAAAAAAGUUGCCAUAUGUUCAGAGAAAGGAAGCAUAACUUGAUCAUAACUUAACUACACUGAAAUCCACCAUACAAGGAUCACCUAAUAGCAAUCUAAUAUACUGUCUCUAACCUGUGUAUAUAAAGUAUACAGAGUAUAUUUUCGGACUAGGUCAGCAUUUACCUUUCAUCCUACUCCCAUCCAAACAAAAAGAGGAGCCUUUUGGUUUCUGUCUUACACCCUAUGCACUUUUGUGUUUGGAUUUAUCAUGAAAUAUGAACCAACACAGACAACCACAGGCACAGAUACUCUUAACCUUGAUCCAACACACAUAUAUAUCAUGGUUGUUUAGCCCUCGCAAUCGUGCACAGUGCAUGGAAUGUCAGCACCUGCUGUUCAUCCACUAAUUCCUAAAAAAAGACUGCAUGCAAUAAUAUACCUCGCUAACAUCCGAUUUAAAUACCUUAAGUCUCCUUUGAUGCAAUUUUUAAGACAAACUAAUCUGCCAAUUCUUGUGGUGUCUGUGCAGUGACACAUCCUAUGUAAGUUUACAUGAAUAAACAGGGAUAAUAGUAUAAUGUUUGAAUGAGCAAAAGAGUGAGAGAUAACUCAUAAAUAUGGCAACUCUCUGAGAUUUUGCAGGGUUGUACAGCUGAAGCUGUGCCCAAUGUGUAACCCAAUAUUGUGGCAAAUUGAGAGGAGGGGGGUCUUGAGUUAAACACCUCUUGAACACUUCCUCUUGUGAAUUAAGUCUGAACCUAAUCAACACAGAAAUCUUUGCUUCGGCUGUGUGGGACCUGCCAGGCCUUUCGUGUCGCACCUUUAUAUAAUUUUUUUCCU